rnacentral:rRNA from 1 species
AAACGUAGGAGGCGAGCGUUAUCCGGAUUUACUGGGUGUAAAGCGCAUGCAGGCGGCCGCACAAGUUGGAUGUGAAAUCUCCCGGCUCAACUGGGAGGGGACGUUCAAAACUGUGCGGCUCGAGGGCGGUAGAGGAAGGUAGAAUUCCCGGUGUAGUGGUGAAAUGCGUAGAUAUCGGGAGGAAUACCCGUGGCGAAGGCGACCUUCUGGACCGUUUCUGACGCUCAGAUGCGAAAGCUAGGGGAGCGAACGGGAUUAGAAACCCCGGUAGUCCUAGCCGUAAACGAUGUCGACUGGGCGUGGGUGGGGUAAAAGCCAUCCGUGCCGAAGCUAACGCGUGAAGUCGACCGCCUGGGGACUACGGCCGCAAGGUUAAA